GACAAAGCAACCAAAGCUUCCAGGGUGUACAGGAGGUCCAAAGUCACCAGAAGGAAGAAGAAAACCUGAAACAGCGAGAGCUGGCCAAACGCUGCUAAGACCUAUGCAAAUAAGACCCACCCACGCUACCUGGAAAUCGGGCCUGGGAAGUCAGAAAACAAAGCACAUGCGUGCAGGGCUGCACGAACGGAGGCGGAGGAGGCGGCUCCGAGGGAGCAGCUGAUCCUGAAACAGCAGUGGAUCCCUGGGAGAGCAGCACAGAUAAAGAUCCAGGCAAUAAUGAUGCUUCCUCCUCUUGGACAGCCUUUUACAGUUCUGGCCAUGGAACUUCAGAGAAGAAGUCCUUGAUGGUUUCCGUGGAAUCGAUUCCCAGUGGGGGAAAUGAUGAGUCAAGGUUACAUACAGUUUACGGCCUCUGCAGAUCAACUCUUCAAAUUAUUCGAAUGACCCAUAUGAGAAACAGAGAAAAGCCAAGUAUUUCUGGUUGAAACGGAGAAGCUGGGCUGGAGUGCGCCUCCCUCCAACUCCCCGCUUUAACUCCCUAAG
rnacentral:lncRNA from 1 species